rnacentral:rRNA from 1 species
UGGGGAAUCUUGCGCAAUGGUCUAACGACUGACGCAGCGACGCCGCGUGUGGGAGGACGCCUUUCGGGGUGUAAACCACUGUUGCCCGGGACGAACUGCGCGAUUUUUCGCGCGUGACGGUACCGGGUGAGGAAGCACCGGCUAACUCCGUGCCAGCAGCCGCGGUAAUACGGAGGGUGCGAGCGUUGUCCGGAAUCAUUGGGCGUAAAGGGCGCGUAGGUGGCCCGGUCAGUCCGUGGUGAAAGCGCGGGGCUCAACCCUGCGUCGGCCAUGGAUACUGCCGCGGCUCGAGCACUGUAGAGGCAGGCGGAAUUCCGGGUGUAGCGGUGGAAUGCGUAGAGAUCCGGAAGAACACCGGUGGCGAAGGCGGCCUGCUGGGCAGUUUGGCUGACACUGAGGCGCGACAGCGUGGGGAGCAAACAGG